GAACUGCUGAGGAGUCCCAGAAUAGAACUAAACGGUCGUCUAGUGU
rnacentral:hammerhead_ribozyme from 1 species